GGUUAACAAACAUGAACAGUGAAUUGUAUGGUCGUAGAGUCAUAGAAAGGCUUCAUUCUGGUCUUGGAGGAGGUGCCCUGAGCUCCUCGGGCCUGGACAGCAUGGCCUUGACACACGACCCUGCACACUGAGCUCCUGUCUGGGCAGGGUGAUUGGGACGUGCUGGAGGGAUGGGCUGUCUGGCAGACUGCAGGCCCGUGGAGGGGAAGGUGCUGGUGGUGUUCCCUGGCUUCUGCUCCAUUUGGGUUUCCCACAUGGGUGUGAAAGAGGUGCAAUCCAGGGACUUCUGAAUGUAUUCAGGCAUGCCAGGAGCAACUCACUCAGAGCCUCCCCGGAUGGGGGGCAUGAGGUCAGGUGAGCUUUGGAGGUCCUUAGAGGGACACCUCUCCUUGCCACCUCUUGGGCAGGGCUCUUUGACAACAGGCCUCCUGGAGCUCAGUUGUCGCCCACGUGCAGCCUGAGCCUUCGAGCUCUGCGCUGAUACAGAGCCCACCGUCCCAGAUGCCAUGGUGUUGGCAUCCAACGCUGCACUUAAGGCCUUUGCUUGCAGCUCAUUCUCUACAUUUUUCUUUGCUCUUAAAACUGCAUCAGUGACAAUGGUUUUGGCACGCCUAAGAAGCAAUUCUUCUUGCUCCUCCUCUUUCACUUUGGAGAUGGCAUUUUCAGUGCUCAACUUUAAAGUGCUGCGACUCAGGCGAGAGACCUCAGCAGCGCUUCGUAUUGGUUGGAUCGUGGGCAACUUUUCUCUCUUGCUUGCUGCUGGGCUCUGCUCUUCUGAUGAGCCUCGUCCUUCCUUCCAGCUCUGCCAUGACAGAGGCACCUGGGAUGGCUGCAGAGGGAGAUGGUUGGUGGGAAGCUCCAUGGUUUCAGAAUAUUCAGCACCAAACUCUUGCUCAGAGUGAGAAGCUACAAAGGAUUGCAAGACACUUCCAGCAGCUUCUCGGGUGGCUUUGUGAAGGGAAGCCUGCGAGGAUGCUUUGUCAGAGGCUUCCCUUCUGCUAGAUUUCAAGGGUUUCCCAACAUUCUUCAGCACACUCGCUACGAGCUUCCUUGCCAGCAGUCCAAUGUCAUGGUCAGGGUUGGAAGGAGACAUCUCCGAAGACUCUGCUCUAUCUGUACUUCCUGGCAAUCUUUGUCUGAUUCUGAGGGAGGCCCUCCUUAAGGCACCAGCAGAUGGAUCUGGCACCUCACGACCUCCAGGGAAUUGUGGCUGUCUUCCUGAGGCAGUUUCAGUAUGAAUAUUUCCAGGGAGCUUGGCACCUUUGCUGCUUGUCUCAAGUUUAGGCAACUUGACAGGCAACUUCAUUGUACGUCCUCUGCUCUUGGAAUCUCCCGGAAGGUCUUGCUGAACCAAAGACAUUUUCAGCCUUCUACGUUGACCAGACUGAUGAAUACUGCGUGGAGGAGGGCCAGCUGGUUUGUGAGGCUGCAGUGGACUGGCUUUCCAAGUCCAAGUAGUGGCUGAAGAGUCCACAGUAGUGGCUGAGCACAGGGAAGAUUUGUCCACGUUCAUCGUCAGGGUGUGGGCGUAUUUCUUCAAACUGGAUAUCUGACCAAGAUUUUCCUGGAAGGGAACAGUGGGUUUAGGCUCAGUUUUGUCUCAGAAAGUGCUUCCCACCCUGUGUGAUGAUGCUUUAUGCAGAUGAGAGCCACCACUCUGCUUCAGCCAUGCAAUGAGGGCAGGAGAGAAUGGCUGCCACAGUGCUCUGUGUGCAAGCAAGCAACUUUCCAGGUCAACUCACGCCAGCACGCUACGAUAACUCAGCCCCAAGCUGGGUUAUUCUUUCCAUACCUCAGGGCCUGGCCCACCAGCCCAGCCCUCACCUUUUCUGCAUUCCCCAUCUCCCUCAGAUCCAUCGAGUAAAGCCCGUGCCCUCGGUGCCAUGCCACUGACACGUGCCUGCCAACACUGGGCUUUGCCUACCUCUUCUCGCCUCUUUGUUUGCUCGCGCUCCAGCUUCAGCCUGGUCAGGUACUGCCUGUACUCAUUGAACUCUUUCAGCGUGCAGACCACCUACGGAGAGACAAGGGCAGAUGGCUCCCAAGAACUGUCGAGGUAGCUACCCACGUGGCCUUCCUGCACAAAUGUGCAGGCCCCCAGCAGCAGGGGAGCUGCUCCUCUCUCCACUCUCCCCUCCCCAGCUGUGGGGCUGCUGCCUCCUCCGUCCUUCGCAGGGACCAGAGGGCUCCUCCCUGCGGUGCCGGGCCUCUUCCCGGCUGCCUGGAAGCUCCUCCCAAGGAGACCUGUGUUGGUCAGCCCAACAUCCAAACCUACUUUGCCAUCCUUGGUGACUAAGCCCCUUUUCUUCAGGUUCUGCAGGUUGUCUUUGCGGUUGUGGUAGUCCUGCAGAUGUGGGUCAUGCAGGCUGUUGUAUUCUGUGCGCAGAUGGCGACAGUACGGAUCUCCCAGAUCAAAAUGAGGAGAAGGCUGGUGAAGCUGGAAGAGAUGUGUUGCAGAGUGUGAACGGGGAAGGAGAGAGCAGCAAAGAGACAAAGACGCUUCCAGGCUGUUCACGCACACGGGCUGGCCUCUUGCACACCCAGUUGGAGAAUGAGCACGUUGUGUGCAUUUCUAAGUGGUUUUUCUAAGUCCUCCAAGAGAGAAAGCAGGAGAAGGUUGCACCCUCCUCCAGGAAUGACCCGGUCUCCACAUUUCUGGCUGUGCCAGGUGGGUGCUGGCAUCCCAACACGCUGCCAGCAGCUGCGGGCAGGGCCCCAGCCACCUGCUUGCCCGGUGCCAGGUACGGUAAUGGAACUGGUGCUGGCAAGCUCGUCCGUGCGGAGAGCCCAAUUUUCAGAACCUCUCCUGACCACCGGGCACUGCUGUUGGUAAACCCUGCACUGUCUCCCUGCUGUGGAGCCAGGAGCGUCCCUUCAUUCCCCCACACAGUUGGAGCAAUGGGCCGCAGUUCCCUCUGCAGAGCAGGUGGCCACAAGGCCUCCUUGGCACGAUGGCAAUCCCAGGAAACAAGAGGCCUUCUUGACCCUUUCCUCCUCCUCUCACCUUUUCCCCCAGCUUUGUCCUGCAGAAGACAGGCUUGGUGCCAGGCUGCACAGGGAUUUUGACCCCGAGUGGGAGGUCCAGCAGCCCGCUACCUCCUGCUCCAAUUUUCCGUCCUCCGGGUCGGAGCUAGAAAGACAAAGACAAAGACAUGCUUGGACACUCAGGCACUCCAGUCCCCUCUCCAGCCCACCUCUGCUCCCUUUGGCAGCUCCCUUCCCACUUCUUAACCCGAUGCCGGGAUGUGCAGAGAGGCGCGAUUCCCUGCAAGCCUUCCCCAGCGCCGGCAUGAGAAGAUGCCCCUCAGCCUCUGGAGAGCAUCUCCAGCCCCAGAGCAGUCCCACAUAGCCCAGGCUGCUGCACUCAGCCCUCUCUUGAGGAAGCAGCACUCACCUCUCCGCUCUUCCCCGCUAUGCUCAGCAGUGCGUUUGGAUUUCGGAAUCCAGCAGUGCCACAGCGCUCCAUGGCUCCUUACAGGAACUCGCCGGGAGCUGCGACCCUCCGCUGCCACCUCUCGCUAGAGCUGCAGCGAACUGAGGCCACCCCAGCCGGAGCCUCAGCCUGCAGCUUCAUGUCACGCUCACGCACUGUUGCAUCAUAAUGUCAUCACAAUGUCACCGUGCCCCAACCCGGCAACCCUGCAGCUGCAUGGAGGCCCCUCCGGGCGCACUCAUGGCAAGCUCCUUUGAGCAUAGUGCCUGGACUAGCUUUUCUCUUCCAUCACAGGCUUGGUCCUACCCAGAUGUGUGCCAGGAUCAGAGGUAACGCAGCAAGAGGUAUAGAAGACAUACCUGGCAUGCUGGUAUUCAAAGCGUGAGAGGUAAAUCUCACCAUCCUGUUGUCAGCACGUGUCAUCCAUCUGACGUCCUCCUGCCGUUAGUGGAGUAGCUGAAACGUUACUGCUACCUCUUAUAGGAAAGGAGACUGGACAAGCUGACAUAAAAAUAAACACAUAUACUUCCA
rnacentral:lncRNA from 1 species